CUUGUAGCAUAGUGGACAGAGCAUUGGUGCGUUAAGCCAAAGGCCCCGGGUUCGAUUCCCGGCGAG
rnacentral:tRNA from 1 species